GUAGGAUGCGUGCUGUGCUUCGUGGUGCUGGCAGCACGUAGGAGCAGGUCAAGUAGUUCUGUCCUGACUCUACACUGAGCCAGCCCUGCAAACAGCUCAACCAC
ensembl:miRNA